rnacentral:rRNA from 1 species
UACGUAGGGGGCAAGCGUUGUCCGGAAUCAUUGGGCGUAAAGAGCGUGUAGGCGGCCCGAAAAGUCCGCCGUGAAAGUCCAGGGCUCAACCCUGGAAUGCCGGUGGAAACUGUGGGGCUGGAGUCCGGAAGAGGCGAGUGGAAUUCCUGGUGUAGCGGUGAAAUGCGCAGAUAUCAGGAGGAACACCAAUGGCGAAGGCAGCUCGCUGGGACGGUACUGACGCUGAGACGCGAAAGCGUGGGGAGCAAACAGG